rnacentral:rRNA from 1 species
GAUGAACGCUGGCGGCGCGCCUAACACACGCAAGUCGAACGGUUAAAGCACCUUCGGGUGUGUAUAAAGUGGCGAACGGCUGAGUAACACGUGGGCAACCUGCCUCUUGCUCUGGGAUAGCCUCGGGAAACCGAGGAUAAUACCGGAUACUCCGUACCUUUCGCAUGGAGGGGACGGGAAAGCGCAUACGGCAAGAGAUGGGCCCGCGGCCUGUUAGCUUGUUGGUGGGGUAACGGCCUACCAAGGCAAUGAUGGGUAGCUGGGUUGAGAGACCGACCAGCCAGAUUGGGACUGAGACACGGCCCAGACUCCUACGGGAGGCAGCAGUGGGGAAUCUUGCACAAUGGGCGAAAGCCUGAUGCAGCGACGCCGCGUGCGGGAUGAAGGCCCUAUGGGUUGUAAACCGCUUUCAGCAGGGAAGAGGCCGCAAGGUGACGGUACCUGCAGAAGAAGCCCCGGCUAACUACGUG